rnacentral:rRNA from 1 species
GAUGAACGCUGGCGGCGUGCCUAACACAUGCAAGUCGAACGAAGCGCCUUUCAAGAUUCUUCGGAUGAUUGACUGGUGACUGAGUGGCGGACGGGUGAGUAACGCGUGGGUAACCUGCCCUGUACAGGGGGAUAACAGCUGGAAACGGCUGCUAAUACCGCAUAAGCGCACGAGGAGACAUCUCUUUGUGUGAAAAACUCCGGUGGUACAGGAUGGGCCCGCGUCUGAUUAGCUGGUUGGCAGGGUAACGGCCUACCAAGGCGACGAUCAGUAGCCGGUCUGAGAGGAUGAACGGCCACAUUGGAACUGAGACACGGUCCAAACUCCUACGGGAGGCAGCAGUGGGGAAUAUUGCACAAUGGGGGAAACCCUGAUGCAGCAACGCCGCGUGAGUGAAGAAGUAUUUCGGUAUGUAAAGCUCUAUCAGCAGGGAAGAUAAUGACGGUACCUGACUAAGAAGCUCCGGCUAAAUACGUGCCAGCCGCCGCCGUAAUAC